rnacentral:rRNA from 1 species
AUUGCACGCUGGCGGCAGGCCUAACACAUGCAAGUCGAGCGGAGCGGCGGAAGAGUGAGUAAUGCAUAGGAAUAUGCCUGGGAGUGGGGGAUCACGUACGGAAACGGGCGCUAAUACCGCAUACUAUCAGAUGAGCCUAGGUCGGAUUAGCUAGGUGGUGGGGUAAAGGCCUACCAAGGCGACGAUCCGUAACUGGUGUGAGAGGAUGAUCAGUCACACGGGAAAUGAGACACGGUCCAGACUCCUACGGGAGGGAGCAGUGGGGAAUAUUGGACAAUGGGCGAAAGCCUGAUCCAGCCAUGCCGCGUGUGUGAAGAAGGUCUUAGGAUUGUAAAGCACUUUAAGUUGGGAGGCGUUACCAACAGAAUAAGCACCGGCUAACUUCGUGCCAGCAGCCGCGGUAAUUC